UACGAAGGGGGCUAGCGUUGUUCGGAUUUACUGGGCGUAAAGCGCACGUAGGCGGACUUUUAAGUCAGGGGUGAAAUCCCGGGGCUCAACCCCGGAACUGCCUUUGAUACUGGAAGUCUUGAGUUCGAGAGAGGUGAGUGGAAUUGCGAGUGUAGAGGUGAAAUUCGUAGAUAUUCGCAGGAACACCAGUGGCGAAGGCGGCUCACUGGCUCGAUACUGACGCUGAGGUGCGAAAGCGUGGGGAGCAAACAGG
rnacentral:rRNA from 1 species